rnacentral:snRNA from 1 species
AUCACUUCUCAGCUUUUUGGCUAAGAUCAAGUGUAGUAUCUGUUCUUAUCAGUUUAAUAUCUAAUAUCUAUCCGAGGACAAUAUAUUAAGUGGAUUUUUGGAAGAGGGAGAUGAAAUAGGAGCUUGCUCCAUGCAUUCUACACAUCAACCUGGCAUCGCAGUACUUCCAGGAGCAGUACAUCCCUC